rnacentral:rRNA from 1 species
UGGGGAAUCUUGGACAAUGGGGGCAACCCUGAUCCAGCCAUGCCGCGUGAGUGAUGAAGGCCUUAGGGUCGUAAAGCUCUUUCGCCUGUGAAGAUAAUGACGGUAGCAGGUAAAGAAACCCCGGCUAACUCCGUGCCAGCAGCCGCGGUAAUACGGAGGGGGUUAGCGUUGUUCGGAAUUACUGGGCGUAAAGCGCACGUAGGCGGACCAGAAAGUUGGGGGUGAAAUCCCGGGGGCUCAACCCCGGAACUGCCUCCAAAACUAUUGGUCUAGAGUUCGAGAGAGGUGAGUGGAAUUCCAAGUGUAGAGGUGAAAUUCGUAGAUAUUUGGAGGAACACCAGUGGCGAAGGCGGCUCACUGGCUCGAUACUGACGCUGAGGUGCGAAAGUGUGGGGAGCAAACAGGAGUUAGAUACCCUGGUAGUCCACACCGUAAAACGAUGAAUGCCAGUCGUCGGGUAGCAUGCUAUUCGGUGACACACC